AUGCUCACUUUGGCAGCGCAUGUACUAAAAUUGGAACGAUAUAGAGAAUAUUAGCAUGGCCCUUGUGCAAGGAUGACACACAAAUUUAUGAAAUGUUAUAUAUUUUU
rnacentral:snRNA from 10 species